rnacentral:misc_RNA from 1 species
UCUUCUUCUUCUUCUUCUUCUUUGCCCACACCAAUGGAAAAGAAGCAGGGCUUCUUUUCUGCUCUCAAAGAAGAAGUAGUCCGUGGUCUCUCCCCUUCCCGUUCGCGCUCCAAUAGCCCCGCCCGAACCGUUUCCCCAAUAUCGGGUCUGCUCAGGAGAAAGAAGAACUGCAGCAGCAACGACAGCCAUUGUAAUCCCUAUGCAGCGCAGCAGGAUUCUUUGGUCGUGAGAUCGGGGAGCUUGAGGCCUGUGCUCGGGGAGACUUUGACGCCGUUGAUUGAAGGUCCGGAUCCUGAUGGAGGUGAAGAGGAGUCAAAGCGGGUGGGUUCAAGUCUUGGG